ensembl:lncRNA
AGUGAUUAGUGAUAUCCCCCAGGGGUCAAUGUUUGGGUCAAUGCUCUUUAGUAUCUUCCUCAGUGAGAUUGACAGUGGAGUUCAGCAUAUCCUCAGCAAGUUAGUGGAUGACACCAUGAUGUGAAGUGCAGUUGACACAUCACAGGGACAGGAUGCCAUGCAGAGGGACCUAGACAGGCUUGAGCAGUGUGCCCAGGUGAACCUCAUGAGGUUCAACAAAUCCAAGUGAAAGGUUUUGCACUUGGGUUGACGUAACAUCCACUACCAAUGCAAGCUGAGGGAUGAAAGAAUUGAACACAGCCUUGCUGAAAAGGACCUGGGGUGCUGGUGGAUAGAAAGCUGGACAUUAGCCAGAAAUGUGCCCUUGCGGCCCAGAAAGUCAACUGUAUCCUGAGCUGCAUCAAAAGGAGCAUGGCCAGCAGGGUGAGGGAGGCGAUCCUGUCCCUCUACUCUGUGCUGGUGAGGCCUCACGUGGAGUACUGUGUCCAGAUGUAGAGUCCUCAGUACAGGAGAGGCAUGGACCUGUUGAUGCGCAUCCAGAGGAGGACUUCAAACAUGAUCCAUGGAAUGGAACACCUCUGCUAUGAGGAGGACAGGCUGAAAGAGUUGGGGCUGUUCAGGCUGAAGAAGAGAAGGCUCUGAGGUGUACCACAAGAUCUGGACCGCUUGUAGGAUUUAGUAAAGUACCAGCUUAAGUAACAGUAGGUUUUCAGCUUGAACCUCAGUGGAGAAAGGUCUGACAUUGCCUGCAACCAGCUCAGGCAGAAGUUUCUGAAGGAAAGAGGAAAGAAAGAGCAGAGGGGAGGAACAUAGGCCUGAUGUAGUGAUUGAACAAUAGCUCUGCUGUAUCUUGCCUUUAUACAACCAAGAAAGGUGUGAAUAGUCUAAACUUUGCCAGUGAGUACAAAAUUACAUUUGUCAACACGUUGUCUCCUUACUGAUAUUGUCCUAAAUUUUCUGAUGUCCUUCUUCUUUACUCUUUCCUAUCACCUGAAAAUGUCACUAUCUCAGUUCGUUUUUCCUCUUCACCACGUACACAGCGAUCGUAACUGUUAUGACACUAAGAGUGGUAUUUGAGACUUUUGUUUGUUCUUUGUCAUGAUAGAAAUUAACCAUUUGUUAUAAUUUCACUUCUCUCCUAGGAACUUCGACCAAAAGCAAUACUCUGAUUCUCCUUUAACAACUGCUCAACUUCUCACUUGGCAUUCAUAGCAUUACACUGAUAAGUUAAAAGCUGUAGAGCUUGUGUAGCUACUGCAUAACUCGUUUCUCUGUUAGAAAUGUACUGGACUGAACAGCAGAAAGAGAUGGCUUCCAAAAUAGCCAAAGUUGAG